rnacentral:rRNA from 1 species
CCUACGGGAGGCAGCAGUGGGGAAUUUUGCGCAAUGCUCGUAAGAGUGACGCAGCGACGCCGCGUGAAUGACGAAGGCCUUCGGGUCGUAAAGUUCUUUCGACAGGGAAGAAAAUGCCUAUAAGUAACCGUGUAUGUAUUGACGGUACCUGUAUAAGCAGCCCCGGCUAACUCCGUGCCAGCAGCCGCGGUAAUACGGAGGGGGCGAGCGUUGUUCGGAGUGACUGGGCGUAAAGAGCACGUAGGCGGUGUUGUAAGUCAUUAGUCAAAGACUAGAGCUAAACUUUAGUAAGGCUAGUGAUACUAUAGUACGAGAGUAUCAGAGAGGAUUGCAGAAUUCCUGGUGUAGCGGUGAAAUGCGUAGAUAUCAGGAGGAAUACCGUUAGCGAAGGCGGCAAUCUGGCUGGAAACUGACGCUGAGGUGCGAAAGCGUGGGUAGCAAACAGGAUUAGAUACCCCUGUAGUC